AUUGAACGCUGGCGGCAGGCCUAACACAUGCAAGUCGAACGGUAGCACAGAGGAGCUUGCUCCUCGGGUGACGAGUGGCGGACGGGUGAGUAAUGUCUGGGGAUCUGCCCGAUAGAGGGGGAUAACCACUGGAAACGGUGGCCAAUACCGCAUAACGUCGCAAGACCAAAGAGGGGGACCUUCGGGCCUCUCACUAUCGGAUGAACCCAGAUGGGAUUAGCUAGUAGGCGGGGUAACGGCCCACCUAGGCGACGAUCCCUAGCUGGUCUGAGAGGAUGACCAGCCACACUGGAACUGAGACACGGUCCAGACUCCUACGGGAGGCAGCAGUGGGGAAUAUUGCACAAUGGGCGCAAGCCUGAUGCAGCCAUGCCGCGUGUAUGAAGAAGGCCUUCGGGUUGUAAAGUACUUUCAGCGGGGAGGAAGGCGAUGUGGUUAAUAACCGCAUUGAUUGACGUUACCCGCAGAAGAAGCACCGGCUAACUCCGUGCCAACCGCCGCCGUAA
rnacentral:rRNA from 1 species